rnacentral:rRNA from 1 species
UACAGAGGGGGCAAGCGUUGUUCGGAAUUACUGGGCGUAAAGCGUGCGUAGGCGGUUUGUUAAGUCUGUCGUGAAAGCCCCGGGCUCAACCUGGGAAUGGCGAUGGAAACUGGCGAGCUAGAGUACGGUAGAGGAGAGUGGAAUUCCCGGUGUAGCAGUGAAAUGCGUAGAGAUCGGGAGGAACAUCAGUUGCGAAGGCGGCUCUCUGGACCAGUACUGACGCUGAGGCACGAAAGCGUGGGGAGCAAACAGG